rnacentral:tRNA from 1 species
CACUACGAAGCUAAAUGGGCCGAGCGUUAGCCUUUUAAGCUAAAGAAUGGUGGCCCCCAACCACCCCUAGUGA